GCCUCUGUGGUGGAUAGUGGAGUGUUUCCCAUGUGGUAUUGGUGUGCUGGAUAUCCCUUCACUGGUAGCCUGGUAACAUACACUCCCAGGUCUUUCUCUGCCUCUGUGGUGGAUAGUGGAGUGUUUCCCAUGUGGUAUUGGUGUGCUGGAUAUCCCUUCACUGGUAGCCUGGUAACAUGCACUCCCAGGUCUUUCUCUGCCUCUGUGGUGGAUAGUGGAGUGUUUCCCAUGUGGUAUUGGUGUGCUGGAUAUCCCUUCACUGGUAGCCUGGUAACAUAUACUCCCAGGUCUUUCUCUGCCUCUGUGGUGGAUAGUGGAGUGUUUCCCAUGUGGUAUUGGUGUGCUGGAUAUCCCUUCACUGGUAGCCUGGUAACAUAUACUCCCAGGUCUUUCUCUGCCUCUGUGGUGGAUAGUGGAGUGUUUCCCAUGUGGUAUUGGUGUGCUGGAUAUCCCUUCACUGGUAGCCUGGUAACAUACACUCCCAGGUCUUUCUCUGCCUCUGUGGUGGAUAGUGGAGUGUUUCCCAUGUGGUAUUGGUGUGCUGGAUAUCCCUUCACUGGUAGCCUGGUAACAUACACUCCCAGGUCUUUCUCUGCCUCUGUGGUGGAUAGUGGAGUGUUUCCCAUGUGGUAUUGGUGUGCUGGAUAUCCCUUCACUGGUAGCCUGGUAACAUACACUCCCAGGUCUUUCUCUGCCUCUGUGGUGGAUAGUGGAGUGUUUCCCAUGUGGUAUUGAUGUGCUGGAUAUCCCUUCACUGGUAGCCUGGUAACAUACACUCCCAGGUCUUUCUCUGCCUCUGUGGUGGAUAGUGGAGUGUUUCCCAUGUGGUAUUGGUGUGCUGGAUAUCCCCUCCCAAGGUGCAUGACUUUACAUUUUUCUUCAUUGAAUUGUAUCAGCCACUUUUUGUUCCAUUCCUGUAGCUUGGUGAGGUCUGACUGUAGGAAAUCCGCA